rnacentral:rRNA from 1 species
GCAUAUCAAUAAGCGGAGGAAAAGAAACCAACAGGGAUUGCCCCAGUAACGGCGAGUGAAGCGGCAACAGCUCAAAUUUGAAAUCUGGCCCCCAGGGCCCGAGUUGUAAUUUGCAGAGGAUGCUUUUGGCGAGGUGCCUUCCGAGUUCCCUGGAACGGGACGCCACAGAGGGUGAGAGCCCCGUCUGGUCGGAUACCGAGCCUCUGUAAAGCUCCUUCGACGAGUCGAGUAGUUUGGGAAUGCUGCUCUAAAUGGGAGGUAUAUGUCUUCUAAAGCUAAAUACCGGCCAGAGACCGAUAGCGCACAAGUAGAGUGAUCGAAAGAUGAAAAGCACUUUGAAAAGAGGGUUAAAUAGUACGUGAAAUUGUUGAAAGGGAAGCGCUUAUGACCAGACUUGGGCCCGGUGAAUCAUCCAGCGUUCUCGCUGGUGCACUUUGCCGGGCUCAGGCCAGCAUCAGUUUGCCCCGGGGGAUAAAGGCUCUGGGAACGUGGCUCCUCCGGGAGUGUUAUAGCCCACUGCACAAUACCCUGGGGCGGACUGAGGUUCGCGCAUCUGCAAGGAUGCUGGCGUAAUGGUCAUCAGCGACCCGUCUUGAAACACGGACCAAGGAGUCGUCUUCGUAUGCGAGUGUUCGGGUGUCAAACCCCUACGCGUAAUGAAAGUGAACGCAGGUGAGAGCUUCGGCGCAUCAUCGACCGAUCCUGAUGUUCUCGGAUGGAUUUGAGUAAGAGCAUACGGGGCCGGACCCGAAAGAAGGUGAACUAUGCCUGUAUAGGGUGAAGCCAGAGGAAACUCUGGUGGAGGCUCGCAGCGGUUCUGACGUGCAAAUCGAUCGUCAAAUAUGGGCAUGGGGGCGAAAGACUAAUCGAACCUUCUAGUAGCUGAUUCCGUCGA